AUUGAACGCUAGCGGCAUGCUUUACACAUGCAAGUCGAACGAGUGGCGGACGGGCGAACAAUAUAGUGGAACGUGGCGAGUAGUGGGGGAUAAACAAUCGAAAGCUUGGCUAAUACCGCAUAUUAUUCGAGCGGCCGAUAUCGGAUUAGCUAGUUGGUGGGGUAAAGGCAGACCAAGGCGACGAUCCGUAGCGGGUCUGAGAGGAUGAUCCGCCACACUGGGACUGAGACACGGCCCAGACUCCUACGGGAGGCAGCAGUGGGGAAUUUUGGACAAUGGGCGAAAGCCUGAGCCAGCAAUGCCGCGUGUCUGAAGAAGGCUUUCGGGUUGUAAAGUACUUUUGGUAGGGAAGCGGUAUCUAAAGAAUAAGCAACGGCUAACUACGUGCCAGCAGCCGCGGUAAUAC
rnacentral:rRNA from 1 species